rnacentral:rRNA from 1 species
GACGAACGCUGGCGGCGUGCUUAACACAUGCAAGUCGAACGGAAAGGCCCUGCGUUUGUGGGGUGCUCGAGUGGCGAACGGGUGAGUAACACGUGAGUAACCUGCCCUUGACUUUGGGAUAACUUCAGGGAACUGGGGCUAAUACAGGAUAGGAGCUCCUGCUGCAUGGUGGGGGUGGGAAAGUUUCUGCGGUUGGGGAUGGACUCGCGGCUUAUCAGCUUGUUGGUGGGGUAGUGGCUUACCAAGGCUUUGACGGGUAGCCGGCCUGAGAGGGUGACCGGCCACAUUGCGACUGAGAUACGGCCCAGACUCCUACGGGAGGCAGCAGUGGGGAAUAUUGCACAAUGGGCGGAAGCCUGAUGCAGCAACGCCGCGUGCGGGAUGACGGCCUUCGGGUUGUAAACCGCUUUCGCCUGUGACGAAGCGUGAGUGACGGUAAUGGGUAAAGAAGCACCGGCUAACUACGUG